rnacentral:lncRNA from 1 species
CACCUCUUCGCCAGAUGUCAUCUGGGAGCGUUCCUGGCUCUUCUGGAGAGUCCAUGUUUUACUAUCUUCUUACUGGUGUUGCUGCUUUCGGUGGUUUAUUUUAUGCUUUUCAAUAAUCAUGGUCUUCCCUGCAACUAAAUACAUCAGACUCUGUGCUUCAUGUCCCUGAAGCCUCCAUUUCAUAGCUUCCUGCCUCACCACUCCCAAGAUUUGAGAUAGUGAGGUAGUGACUAGCAUCCAAAGAGGUGUAUGUUACCCUCUCCCACAAAACAAUCCUCUUGAAUGGCCUACAGAGUAGUCAGUUCAUCCCGCAACAACUACAUUGAACAUUUGAAUAUUCUUCAUGAGAGAUCUCAGGGGCGGAAAGACAAACGUGAUGAAGAAGAGACGGCUGAAGUCGCUGAAGCAGAGACAGCCACGGAAGAGGCUUAUGCAGUAGCUGCUGCUGGACCUGCAGCACAGGAUGAUAAUGCUGGGGUAUCCCCAGAAACUGGAGGGGAGAAUGAUCUACCAGCUCCAGGACCAUCCCUGGCUGUGGAGGAAGCGCAGCAGGAAGCUGCUGCUGACUUGGAAGUUGCUGCUAUUUCAGAAGCUGCUGCAGUGCAAGAAACUGUGAGUGAAGUCUUGGAUGUUUCAGCUUCUUCUGCCCAUGAGGAAAACUUAGACAGUGUUGAGGAAGGCGUAGCCUCAGCAGCUCAAGAGACUUCUGACACAUCCUCAAGGAGCCAGGACGCUGAUGCUGAGGAGUCGGGGCAGACUUCAGAAGUUUCUGUGGAGGAGAAGGCACCUGAAGAAGUUGCUAAGGAGCCCUAAAG